CGGGUGGGCCGGGCGAUCGCUGGCUUCGGCGCUGGGGUGACAAGUUAAAGCUUGUCGCUUCAGAUUCGGGGCGGGAGGAAAGUCCGGACACCGUAGCUCGCUGCCGCAAGGCUUCGAGCUUCAGGGCAACGCGCCUGGUAACGCCAGGGGACGCAGUUGAAGCGACGGGCCGCAAGGCCGCCGCUCCAAAAGCGCGUCACGGACAGUGCCACAGAGAAUAUACCGCCGGCGCGGCGAAUGCUUCGGUGACAGGCCGCAGGAAAACCUGCGGCACGUCUUCCACAAGCACGUUGCGCAAGGUGUCGACCGCCCCGGUUUAACCGGGAUCUUCGACUUCGCGGUCGCAUCAGGCAAGGGUGAAAAGGUGGGGUAAGAGCCCACCGGUCCGGUCGCGAGACCGAACGCAUGGCAAACCCCGCGUGGUGCAAGGCCAAAUAGGAGGGGAGAGCUGGCCCGGCUCGUUUGCACCGAGCGCGCAAGCGCGAAGUGCUCACCCGGAGAGCCGAUUUAGUCGGCUCGAAGGGCAUCAACCCUCGGGUAGGCCGCUUGAGGCACGGUGUGAGCCGUGCCCCAGAGGAAUGAUCGUCGCGGCAUGGUGACACGCCCCGAUGCAACCCGUCGGGACAUGAAAGCCGUGCUGCACAGAAUCCGGCUUAUAGGCCCAUCCGCCCU
rnacentral:RNase_P_RNA from 1 species